GUGGGGAAUAUUGCACAAUGGGCGCAAGCCUGAUGCAGCAACGCCGCGUGAGGGAUGACGGCCUUCGGGUUGUAAACCUCUUUUAGUAGGGAAGAAGCGUAAGUGACGGUACCUGCAGAAAAAGCACCGGCUAACUACGUGCCAGCAGCCGCGGUAAUACGUAGGGUGCAAGCGUUGUCCGGAAUUAUUGGGCGUAAAGAGCUCGUAGGCGGCUUGUCGCGUCCGCCGUGAAAACCCAGGGCUCAACUCUGGGCGUGCGGUGGGUACGGGCAGGCUAGAGUGCGGUAGGGGAGAUUGGAAUUCCUGGUGUAGCGGUGGAAUGCGCAGAUAUCAGGAGGAACACCGAUGGCGAAGGCAGAUCUCUGGGCCGUAACUGACGCUGAGGAGCGAAAGCAUGGGGAGCGAACAGGAUUAGAAACCCGAGUAGUCC
rnacentral:rRNA from 1 species